CUACGGGAGGCAGCAGUGGGGAAUUUUCCGCAAUGGGCGAAAGCCUGACGGAGCAAUACCGCGUGAGGGAUGACGGCCUAUGGGUUGUAAACCUCUUUUUUCAGGGAGGAAUCAAUGACGUGUACCUGAAGAAUAAGCAUCGGCUAACUCCGUGCCAGCAGCCGCGGUAA
rnacentral:rRNA from 1 species